rnacentral:rRNA from 1 species
GACGAACGCUGGCGGCGUGCUUAACACAUGCAAGUCGAACGGAAAGGCCCUGCUUUUGUGGGGUGCUCGAGUGGCGAACGGGUGAGUAACACGUGAGUAACCUGCCCUUGACUUUGGGAUAACUUCAGGAAACUGGGGCUAAUACCGGAUAGGAGCUCCUGCUGCAUGGUGGGGGUUGGAAAGUUUCGGCGGUUGGGGAUGGACGCGCGGCUUAUCAGCUUGUUGGUGGGGUAGUGGCUUACCAAGGCUUUGACGGGUAGCCGGCCUGAGAGGGUGACCGGCCACAUUGGGACUGAGAUACGGCCCAGACUCCUACGGGAGGCAGCAGUGGGGAAUAUUGCACAAUGGGCGGAAGCCUGAUGAAGAAACGCCGCGUGCGGGAUGACGGCCUUCGGGUUGUAAACCGCUUUCGCCUGUGACGAAGCGUGAGUGACGGUAAUGGGUAAAGAAGCACCGGCUAACUACGUG